rnacentral:rRNA from 1 species
AUUGAACGCUGGCGGUAGGCCUAACACAUGCAAGUCGAGCGAGCGGCGGACGGGUGAGUAAUGUAUGGGGACUGCCCGAUAGAGGGGGAUAACUACUGGAAACGGUGGCUAUUACCGCAUACUAUCGGAUAACCCAUAUGGUCUUAGCUAGUAGGUGGGGUAAAGGCUCACCUAGGCGACGAUCUCUAGCUGGUCUGAGAGGAUGAUCAGCCACACUGGGACUGAGACACGGCCCAGACUCCUACGGAGGCAGCAGUGGGGAAGAUUGCGCAAUGGGCGAAAGCCUGAUGCAGCCAUGCAGCGUGGAUGAAGGAGGCCUUAGGGUUGUAAAGUACUUUAAGCGGGGAGGCGGUAACCGCAGAAGAAGCACCGGCUAACUCCGUGCCAGCAGCCGCGGUAAUUC